rnacentral:rRNA from 1 species
GAUGAACGCUAGCUACAGGCUUAACACAUGCAAGUCGAGGGGAAACGACAUUGAAAGCUUGCUUUUGAUGGGCGUCGACCGGCGCACGGGUGAGUAACGCGUAUCCAACCUGCCCACCACUUGGGGAUAACCUUGCGAAAGUAAGACUAAUACCCAAUGAUAUCUCUAGAAGACAUCUGAAAGGGAUUAAAGAUUUAUCGGUGAUGGAUGGGGAUGCGUCGUAUUAGCUUGUUGGCGGGGUAACGGCCCACCAAGGCGACGAUCAGUAGGGGUUCUGAGAGGAAGGUCCCCCACAUUGGAACUGAGACACGGUCCAAACUCCUACGGGAGGCAGCAGUGAGGAAUAUUGGUCAAUGGACGAGAGUCUGAACCAGCCAAGUAGCGUGCAGGAUGACGGCCCUAUGGGUUGUAAACUGCUUUUAUAAGGGAAUAAAGUGAGUCUCGUGAGACUUUUUGCAUGUACCUUAUGAAUAAGGACCGGCUAAUUCCGUGCCAGCAGCCGCCGUAA